GGAUGCGAUCAUACCAGCACUAAAGCACCGGAUCCCAUCAGAACUCUGAAUUUAAGCGUUCUUGGGCGAGAGUAGUACUAGGAUGGGUGACCUCCCGGGAAGUCCUCGUGUUGCAUUCC
rnacentral:rRNA from 1 species